UGUUGAGUCGGCCCACUCGCUUCAACCGCGUCCACGACAAGUGGGGGCGACUGUGACGUCGUGGUGCAACGGCUCGCCGCGAAUCGCCGGGUCCAGAGGUCAAGACUUGCUUAUGCGCACCGGCCGCGCGCACGCGUUCUUUAGUUCUUAUAUGUACUUAAACUUUAAUUCUUAUUUGCUUAAUCGUAUUACCUAUAUUGUUAUUCUUAAAAAUCAUUAUACGUAUUCACAUAUUAUACAGUCCACGCUUAUUAUUUACUCCACCUGCUGAGCUAUCGUCGCAACAUAUGGUCCUUCUCCCAAGAAAAAUUGAACUGGACAAAGAAGACAAAGGACUUUGGUGAACGUCGACCACGUCAUCGAGUGACUCAGUGAAUAUUAUCAAGUUUCUUCGCUGUGAACAUUGUUACGUCGUGAUAUAUCGGCACGGCUUGAGACUUUUCGGCCGUCUUAGCUGACGUCACCCAACUGACACGAGAAGAAACGGAAUUUGGGCUACUAAUUAUUCGUCAUCAUAACGGACAGCAAAUACACGUGUUCAGAUUGUCGUCGUGCAUUGAGAUAUCUGACCAGAAUACUCCUCGGCGCAGUCAUCACCAGUGGUUUGCACCGGAAAACAGUGAGCUCGAUCCAAUUCCUUAUUUAAUCAUCUCAUCAUCUUUCCGUCAUCAUAAUCACGUUCAUUAUUAUCCAUAUCCCACAUUACAUUCAUUUUUUACCUCAUUAUAAUUAAAGAACGGUGUUACAUUUUUGCAAGUCAUCUCCACAUUAUUUCAUCAUAUUUCAUCCCAUUUUACCAUUUAUUUCAACUGUUUCAUCUCUUCAUUCAUUAAUUUCACUAUAAUUUAAUCAAUCAAUUGCAGUGUCGUUUUAUAUUUCAGCUAAAAUCUAAUAUUAUUUUCUUAUAACGUUAACAUUACGCAGCGAUUAUCAGUGCACAAACGCCUUGCAUUUUUAAAUAGCAAUACACAUUCUGCUACAAUUUUGCUCGUGCACUUUAUCUUGCAACUCGUUGCUAUUAUUUUAUGAGAAGUGUUUAACUUGCUGUUAGUUUAUAUAUUUCCUUAGUGCUUUAUUACAAAAAUCUAUCGCCUUCUCUUAAAAUGUCUGACAUUAAAAGCCUUAUGAGGAAACGUGCUUCAAUUAAAGCAAAGCUUACGCAAUUCUCUUCAUACUUAAACAUUGCUAAGUCAUGUGAACAGUUGAGCGAAGUUCAGAUUGUUGAGGUUGAGUAUAGACUUAAUACUAUCGAAAAUCUAUAUGAUAAAUACGACGUGUUACAGGCCGACAUGGAAGAGAUGGUGGACGACCCUAGCGAGCAAUAUGCGGAGCGUGAGGAGUUCGAAAAGCAGUACUACAGCUUGGUGGCUGCAGCACGUCAGCUGAUCAGCAAUGUUCGCAAGCAGGCUUCAGGGAACUCCAUAGCCGAGCGUUGGUGAAUGUGUCGGAUGCUGAAGGCAACAUUCAUACUGCACGAAUUCUGCUGGAUAACGGGAGUACGACUAACCUUAUGUCACAGGAGUUGGCUCGUAAACUUAACAUUUCCACCUAUACAGUCGAGUCUAAGGAUACGUCGGUGGAUUACGUGUGAAUCAUCGCCUUCUGUGCAGUUGCAUGUGUUCACCGGCGCAUCUGAAAGGGCGUAUGGUGCUUGGUUGCAUGUCCGCAACGUAUGGCUUAGUGGUCCAGAACGCUAACGUGAACAACUUGCAGCGGUUCCGUCGCAUCGAAUGUUUAAAGCAACAUUUCUGGUCACGCUUCUCACAUGAGUACAUUUUGUGGCUCCAACAACGAACCAAAUGGCUCCGAUCGUCAGGGGAACUUACAGAAGGAACCCUUGUCGUCAUUAAGGAUAAAGGCUCACCUUCUCUGUUAUGGCUUUUAGGACGGAUCGUUAAGGUGCUUCCUGGUAGAGACGGCAUUGCACGAGUCGCCGACAUCCGCACACGUAAGGGUGUCAUUCGGCGAGCGUUUAACACAAUUUGCCCGUUACCCGUCGCCACUGCUGUUGAAGACACUUCAACGGGGGGAGUAUGUUGAGUCGGCCCACUCGCUUCAACCGCGUCCACGACAAGUGGGGGCGACUGUGACGUCGUGGUGCAACGGCUCGCCGCGAAUCGCCGGGUCCAGAGGUCAAGACUUGCUUAUGCGCACCGGCCGCGCGCACGCGUUCUUUAGUUCUUAUAUGUACUUAAACUUUAAUUCUUAUUUGCUUAAUCGUAUUACCUAUAUUGUUAUUCUUAAAAAUCAUUAUACGUAUUCACAUAUUAUACA